rnacentral:piRNA from 1 species
UCAGAAAUCUGUGGUGACUCAAACUUGAU